UUUCAAAACAAAUUUUGGCUUCAACUUUAAUUGGGUUCAUGGCAUGCCGAAAACAUCAUCAUCGGCCACAUCAUUCGUGAACAUCAGGUGUAUUUUCUCACUAUCGGACAUAUUGUUGCGAUCAACGAUCAAUUCCGUGACAUUUUUCGCUGCAGGCUGCGACAACUGAAAGUAGGGCAUCAGGCUGCCAAACAACUCGGGAUUCCCUGCAUAGAGUGCUCUUCGAAUACGUUCCGUAUUUAAUUGGGAUACACCCAUGGGCGCUGGCCGCUGCUCAGCAUUAUCGCCAAAGGCAUCGCCGUCCAUUUUGAUACCAAAAAUUGUUCAUUUAAUUUGAAGUUUAGCAAGUUUUAAUAGCUGACUUUUAAAAACUGUUACGAGCUGAAAGGUUUCUUUCUGUAGCUGUAAUUUUGUUACAAUGAAUCAAAAACAAAGCAUUAGAAGUCGAGCUACUAUGAUUUCAAAUU
rnacentral:lncRNA from 1 species